rnacentral:rRNA from 1 species
GGUUGCGAUCAUACCAGCACUAAUGCACCGGAUACCAUCAGAACUCCGCAGUUAAGCGUGCUUGGGUGAGAGUAGUACUAGGAUGGGUGACCCCCAGGGAAGUCCUCGUGUUGCAACCC